UACGUAGGGGGCAAGCGUUGUCCGGAAUCAUUGGGCGUAAAGAGCGUGUAGGCGGUCCGGCAAGUCGGUUGUGAAAGUCCAGGGCUCAACCCUGGGAUGCCGAUCGAUACUGUGGGACUAGAGUUCGGAAGAGGCGAGUGGAAUUCCCGGUGUAGCGGUGAAAUGCGCAGAUAUCGGGAGGAACACCAAUGGCGAAGGCAGCUCGCUGGGACGUUACUGACGCUGAGACGCGAAAGCGUGGGGAGCAAACAGG
rnacentral:rRNA from 1 species